rnacentral:rRNA from 1 species
CCUACGGGCGGCUGCAGUGGGGAAUUUUCCACAAUGGGCGAAAGCCUGAUGGAGCAACGCCGCGUGCAGGAUGAAGGCCUUCGGGUCGUAAACUGCUUUUAUGUGCGAAGAAUAUGACGGUAACACAUGAAUAAGGGUCGGCUAACUACGUGCCAGCAGCCGCGGUCAUACGUAGGACCCAAGCGUUAUCCGGAAUUACUGGGCGUAAAGAGUUGCGUAGGUGGCAUAAUAAGUGGAACGUGAAAGUUUAUGGCUCAACCAUAAAACUGCGUUCCAAACUAUUAAGCUUGAGUAUGAGAGGGGUAGAUGGAAUUUCUAGUGUAGGAGUGAAAUCCGUAGAUAUUAGAAGGAACACCGAUAGCGUAGGCAGUCUACUGGCUCAUUACUGACACUGAGGCACGAAAGCGUGGGUAGCAAACGGGAUUAGAUACCCCAGUAGUC